GCCGAGAUGGUGGAAUUGGCAGACACGCUACUUUGAGGGGGUAGUGGGCGUCAUGCCCGUGCGAGUUCGAGUCUCGCUCUCGGCACCA
rnacentral:tRNA from 1 species